rnacentral:rRNA from 1 species
UUCGCAAUGGGCGAAAGCCUGACGGAGCAAUGCCGCGUGAAGGAUGAAGGCCUAUGGGUUGUAACUUCUUUUCUCAGAGAAGAAAUUUUGACGGUAUCUGAGGAAUAAGCAUCGGCUAACUCUGUGCCAGCAGCCGCGGUAAGACAGAGGAUGCAAGCGUUAUCCGGAAUGAUUGGGCGUAAAGCGUCUGUAGGUGGCUUAAAAAGUCUCCUGUCAAAGAUCAGGGCUUAACCCUGGGCCGGCAGGAGAAACUCUUAGGCUAGAGUUGGUAGGGGCAGAGGGAAUUCCCGGUGGAGCGGUGAAAUGCGUAGAGAUCGGGAGGAACACCAAAGGCGAAAGCACUCUGCUGGGCCAUUACUGACACUGAGAGACGAAAGCGAGGGGAGCAAAAGGGAUUAGAUACCC